rnacentral:rRNA from 1 species
AGUGAACGCUGGCGGUAGGCCUAACACAUGCAAGUCGAACGGCAGCACAGUAAGAGCUUGCUCUUACGGGUGGCGAGUGGCGGACGGGUGAGGAAUACAUCGGAAUCUACUUUUUCGUGGGGGAUAACGUAGGGAAACUUACGCUAAUACCGCAUACGACCUACGGGUGAAAGCAGGGGAUCUUCGGACCUUGCGCGAUUGAAUGAGCCGAUGUCGGAUUAGCUAGUUGGCGGGGUAAAGGCCCACCAAGGCGACGAUCCGUAGCUGGUCUGAGAGGAUGAUCAGCCACACUGGAACUGAGACACGGUCCAGACUCCUACGGGAGGCAGCAGUGGGGAAUAUUGGACAAUGGGCGCAAGCCUGAUCCAGCCAUACCGCGUGAGUGAAGAAGGCCUUCGGGUUGUAAAGCCCUUUCGUUGGGAAAGAAAAGCAGCAGGUUAAUACCCCGCUGUUCUGACGGUACCCAAAGAAUAAGCACCGGCUAACUUCGUG